AACGAACGCUGGCGGCAUGCCUAACACAUGCAAGUCGAACGAGACAUUCGGGUUUACUGGCGCACGGGUGCGUAACGCGUGGGAACCUGCCCAUAGGUUUGGCUUAACUCCCCGAAUGGGGUGCUAAUACCGGAUAUUGUAUUCCAACCAAAGAUUUAUCGCCUUUGGAUGGGCCGGCGUUGGAUUAGCUAGUGGGUAGGGUAAAAGCCUACCAGGGGGACGAUCCAUAGCUGGUCAGAGAGGCUGAGCAGCGACACUGGCGCUGGGACACGGUCGAGAAUAUUACGGGAUGGAGCAGUGGGUAAUAUAGGACAAUGGGGGAAAGCAUGAAGCAGCUAGGCCGCGAAAGUGAUGAAAGUUUUGGGGUAGUAAAGCACUUUUACACGGGACGAUAAUGACGGUACCGGGAGAAUAAGCACCGGCUAACUCCGUG
rnacentral:rRNA from 1 species